rnacentral:rRNA from 1 species
UACGAAGGGUGCAAGCGUUACUCGGAAUUACUGGGCGUAAAGCGUGCGUAGGCGGUUUGUUAAGUCUGAUGUGAAAGCCCCGGGCUCAACCUGGGAAUGGCAUUGGAUACUGGCAGGCUAGAAUGUGGUAGAGGGUGGUGGAAUUCCCGGUGUAGCGGUGAAAUGCGUAGAGAUCGGGAGGAACAUCCGUGGCGAAGGCGGCCACCUGGACCAACAUUGACGCUGAGGCACGAAAGCGUGGGGAGCAAAC